rnacentral:rRNA from 1 species
UAUGUGAUCGUCUCUCGCAUAUCAAUAAGCGGAGGAAAAGAAACUAACAAGGAUUCCCCUAGUAACGGCGAGUGAAGCGGGAAGAGCUCAAAUUUGAAAUCUUAAAGGGUUUCCCUUUACGAAUUGUAGUUUAAAGAAGUGUUUUCUGUUGAGGUUUUGGUAAAGUUCUUUGGAAUAGGACAUCAUAGAGGGUGAGAAUCCCGUAUUUGACCUUUACUUUCAACUUUGUGAUACACUUUCAAAGAGUCGGAUUGUUUGGGAAUGCAGUCCAAAAUGGGUGGUAAAUUUCAUCUAAAGCUAAAUAUUGGCGAGAGACCGAUAGCGAACAAGUACCGUGAGGGAAAGAUGAAAAGAACUUUGAAAAGAGAGUUAAACAGUACGUGAAAUUGUCAAAAGGGAAGCGUUUGUCACCAGUGUUGUUUUUCUGAAAAUCAAUUAAAGAACUGUUUAUGCUAAGUUGUUUAGACUUUAUCAGCUAACUGUUUAGUUUUGAGCUUUUCUUUAAUGCACUUUUCAGUUAACAAGUCAACAUCAAUUUCUUUUGCUGUAAAAAGCUUGAGGAAGGUGGCUUGAGAUUCGUCUUAAGUGUUUAUAGCCUCUUGCCUAUGCAGUCGGAGAGAUUGGGGUCUGCAGCGUAGAUCCUUCGGGGCUAAAUGCAUUUGUGCUAAGUUAUAGCAUUUUAUAGACAACUUGUUGACUAUGAUUUGUCUUGUAGCUUACUCGCUUAUGUUAUUUUACCUACGCUUAGGAUGUUGAUCUACAGAGCGAGAGU